rnacentral:rRNA from 1 species
UACAGAGGGGGCAAGCGUUAUUCGGAAUUAUUGGGCGUAAAGGGUGCGUAGGCGGUUUGUUAAGUCUGUCGUGAAAUCCCGGGGCUCAACCUGGGAAUGGCGAUGGAUACUGGCAAGCUAGAGUGUGUCAGAGGAUGGUGGAAUUUCCGGUGUAGCGGUGAAAUGCGUAGAGAUCGGAAGGAACAUCAGUGGCGAAGGCGGCCAUCUGGGACAACACUGACGCUGAAGCGCGAAAGCGUGGGGAGCAAACAGG